AGCCUGAUGCAGCCAUGCCGCGUGUGUGAAGAAGGCCUUCGGGUUGUAAAGCACUUUCAGUCGUGAGGAAGGUGGUAGUGUUAAUAGCACUAUCAUUUGACGUUAGCGACAGAAGAAGCACCGGCUAACUCCGUGCCAGCAGCCGCGGUAAUACGGAGGGUGCGAGCGUUAAUCGGAAUUACUGGGCGUAAAGCGCAUGCAGGUGGUUUGUUAAGUCAGAUGUGAAAGCCCGGGGCUCAACCUCGGAAUAGCAUUUGAAACUGGCAGACUAGAGUACUGUAGAGGGGGGUAGAAUUUCAGGUGUAGCGGUGAAAUGCGUAGAGAUCUGAAGGAAUACCGGUGGCGAAGGCGGCCCCCUGGACAGAUACUGACACUCAGAUGCGAAAGCGUGGGGAGCAAACAGGAUUAGAUACCCUGGUAGUCCACGCCGUAAACGAUGUCUACUUAGAUACUGUGGCCUUGAGCCGUGGCUUUCGGAGCUAACGCGUUAAGUAGACCGCCUG
rnacentral:rRNA from 1 species